AUGACUGACCCCAGCCAGGACGGCCAAGAAAGGAGCCCAGCUCAGGAGCGCUUGGAGGAUGCCGUGCCUGGGGAGGAGAAGCAUGGGGAGCAAGUGCCAGGAGGUGGGCUGGCUCCUGCCACCGAAGUGCUUGAGGGUAGCCAGGUGACCAGUGACUCUGAGGGGGAAGUUUACUGUGAUACCUUGGAGCAGAUGGAGCCUGACCAGGCUGGGCAGCUGCUGGCCAAACAGGGUCUCUCCCUGAACAGCAUCGAGGCUGGGCCUGAGCCCCCAGCGCCCCGCGCCGCUAGGGAGGGAGAGCGGGAUGAAGGCAGAAGACUAGAGGGGAAGAGCAGCACUGGCCUCGCAGGCCUUGGCUCUGAGAGAGAUCUGCAGCUCGCUGCAGGAGAGCAGGAUCCUGAGCUGGCCCACAUGAGCCAGGAGAUGUUGGAGGAGCUGGAUGCGCAGGUGGCUGGCACCGUCCGAGCCCUGCAGGAUGACAUGCAGCGAGUGCUGGAGAGGCUGAGCCAGCUGGAGACGCUUACCUCUGCGCAGCUGGAUGUGCCUGAGGCCGGUCCUGACCAGCUGCUUGCUCCGCAGGCAGCGUUCCCGUGGCCCCUGGCCGUGUCCCCUCGCACCCUGCUCUUCCUUAUCGCCUGGCCCUUUGUCGCCCAGUGGCUGCUGCACCGCUUGCAGGCCAGGAAGAGGUGACUGCCUGCGGCCUCCCGAGCAAUCGGAUCAAUGCAAGGAGGGAAGUGCCUCCCCUGCCCCAGGGAAAGGGUGACUAUCCCAGGCCCGAGCUUUUUAGCUCGCCAGAUGUGAGUCUGGGGCUGCCUGGAGUCCCUUUGCGCCUGCCCCACGCAGGGAGGAGGAGUUGCUGUGCACUGCUGUUGUCUGUUGCUCUCAGGGUCCCUCCACCACUGCAGGGAUGGCAAAAGCACUUUGCACCCAGGGAUACUAGCCUCCCUCUUUUGGGACGUACCAUAUUUAAGCACUGCUGCACCACGCACGGCAGGCGGCACGAGGGCCCCCUGGGCUCCCAGCCCACCAGGAUGUGUGCGCCACUUGCAGCUCACGUGAGCCGAGCGUGUGGACCAG
rnacentral:lncRNA from 1 species